UGGCCCCGCGCGCCGCUCCUCCCUGCCCGGCCGGGCGCGGGUUGGCGGGACGCGCCUGUCACUCGGCCCGCGCAGCGACUCCGGGAGCUCGGGGGGAAGCAGGGGGCGGUGUGCAAGAAUGUGGAUCGAGACAGCUCUACUGUAUGCGUGGAUCCGUGUGUGUCUGCGAGGCGCCGGCUCUCGGGCCGUGCUCGUGCCUGGAGCGGGGACACUGCGCAGGACGCCGAGCGCCCCCGAGCCCCGGCGGGGUCGGGCGCCCGUUGUCGCUGUCCCCGCGGUGCUCCGGGCUCCCCCACCCCGCACCGGGGAGGCUGGGGAAGCGGAGGCGGCCCCGGGAGAGCCAGGGCGGCCGUAGUAAUAGCGCGUAGUAGUUUGGGGGUAUGUGGAGAAGGUGCUGGAAUGUAACCGUGCCUCCGCCUGCCGGAGCCAGCCUGCAGAGGGAAAGGGAGGGGACAGGCGGAGGGCUCCCGGGGGGGGGCACCAGAGCGGCUGGUGGCACGGUCUUGACCGUGAAAGAAGAAACAGGCAUCGUCGUGCCGGCUGAAACUUUUUCUCCCCAACCCCCACUCAAGUCCACAGGCUGGCUCUUCUCUCCCACCUCGCAUUUAAGAGCGAUUAAGGCUCCGCACAGUAGAUUGCCGGCGCUUGGCAGUUGGGCGACCUCUUGUUCCAAUUCUCCUUGAAAUACAGUUCUUUGGCUGGCGGAAUAGGCCCAAUUUGUUUCUCUGGCACACCAACCUCACACUUAUCCUUCCUUGUGCGUAAGUACCUUUGAUCCCUUUAGGAUUCCAUCUUCACCGGCCAUGCCACAUUUCAAAGAGAGAACAAUCAUCUUAGUAAGACACUGGAGGAAGAGAAUGGCCAUUCCUCCUGGCGUUUUGUCAGAGGGAGAGUGGAGAAGAAAAUGCUUGCUUUGCUACCCGUGUAUAUUCCUCGGCUCAUAUAACAUUUUGAUGCAGCGCUUGGAAGGACUGGUAUCAAUGCAUUCUAUACUCAACUAUGGGAACUGAAAAAUAAAAUCUGUCUCUGGGAGCAGAGCUUAAAUACAGAUACUGCAUCUCCUUUUUCCUUUGUAUUGGUCUAAGAAAGCACCACCUUCUCCCUUUUGGUCUUCCCUCGGAAGAAUCGUCUCGUUGGUGGCAGGCGCUGCAGAAAGUAGAAAUGUUAGAAAGUAAGGCCUACACUCAGGAGAAAUGAAAAGGCAUUCACUCAGUACGGGUGCAGGGGAAGCCUGUAGAACAUGGAGCAGAAGCUUCAUCUCUUAGGUAAAGCAACAUGUAACAACUGAUGUUAAGGAGGAAAAUGAUGGGGUUCUUUUGUCUCGCAGAAGAUCCACACAAAAGCCAAUAUGGUUGCAGGCUAAAAGGACCCCAAGAGGUUGCGCGGGUGGCUGUGUGUGCGUGAAGCUUUUCCUUUUGGACUUUGAUGAGUCAUGAUGUGUUCUCUGAACUUGCUUUUCUCUUUCUAGUUUGGCAUCAAGAGAUGGAAGUCGCUCUUUCAUGUCUGUAUGGCCACUUUCACUUGUUAUGUAAGUCGGCUGCGGUUGAUGUUCUGUUUAGAGUGGAUGUUGGGUUUGAAAAUUGGUAUCUGGCUAUAACAUCCUCAUAGGGAACAAUUCCUCAUGCAAUGUUUGGAAGCUUGUAAUCCCACCAGGCAAACUGGUAAUGGCCGGCUGAAGUGUUGCCAGGCUUCCGACAGGAACAAGUCAGACACUUAGGAAAUGAAUACUUUUUCUACAGUCGUGGAGCCUAAACUUGUUUAGGCUCUUGGACAAAAGUGAAUUAGCCGACAUUUACUUUAGUGACGAGUUUAUAAUUAGCAAGUAAAUUGACCAUAGAGGUAAAAGCUCUUCUUUCUCCUUUUUCCCAACCAACUGUCUCAAGAGAUUUUGUUUCGUCAGUCGUUCCUCCAAAAUACCCGCCCUGUUCUCUGUGAUGGCAUCUCCCUCUCAUUUAAGAGCCUUUGUCUAUUUCCAAUCCAUUCCGUGAUAAAUUUUGGUCAUAGCAUGUCAUCCAAGGCUGAGCACCGACGGAUUUCUGCCAGCCUCGUUGACUUCCUCAAACCCCUCAAACCCCUCAAACCCCGGCGCCAGAAACCUGGACUACCCGCGGGUUCCUAAGGGACCAUACUGGAUAUACCUCCGUCCGACCAAAAUGCAGAUUCCCAGUCCUAUCCUCCAAGACUCAGCUAUGGCCCAGCCUCCUUCCGGUGGCCCUCCUUGCCCUCCCCAGGCAAAAGAAGCUGCUUAGCCGACUCUGCUCCCAUAGCAACCAGUGUGUACCUCCAUUAUAGCUCUUACCACUUUGAUGCGAUUAUUUGGUUGGUAUCCUCCACUAGAUGGUUAGUGCCUGGAGGGCCUAGAGCAAGUACAAUUCAUCUUCGAAACCUCAGCCCUUAGCCAGACGUCUAGUACAUUGUAUGUUGUUUAAAAACAAAGCAAAAACACCAAAAAGCAAACAACCCUCUCCCAUAUUAAAAUUAUCUGAUAGGAUCUAAGGGGUCUUCCCAAUUAGUAAUUCUCAAGCUAAUGAACAGGAUUACUAAGUGUUCAGAAUCCGCUGUUUUCCAAGCUGAAAAGGCUAAUAUGCUUUUGUUUGGUUUGUUCUGUUUCGGGGGGCGAGGUCGGAGGUGAGAAACUACAGCUCUUGAAGUCAUAUAGAGAGCACUGAGAGGAGGUUUUGUGUGGUUUUUAAAUUAGGCUAGGAGCAACACGAGUUCACUUAACAGCCGUGUGAUAGAGGAGUAAUCAUGAUAAUAGUAUCUCCUUUUAUUUCUCCUUUAAAUCACAGGCCAGGGUUUGUGCACAGGCCUUGACCCAUGCCCUUGGUCCACUUGAUCCGACUGAGUUACGUGACAUUAUCCCCAUUUUACAGAUGAAGAAACUGAGAGGCAUUAAAUUAUUUGCCUCAGGUGGGGUCUCCAUAGUGGAGUGAGCAAGGCAGUUCACUGUGAUUUGGGAAGAACAUUAGAAAUUCUAUUUCUUGGGGGCGCCUGGGUGGCUCAGUGGGUUAAGCCUCUGCC